UACGAAGGGGGCUAGCGUUGUUCGGAAUUACUGGGCGUAAAGCGCGCGCAGGCGGUCUUCCAAGUCAGUGGUGAAAGCCCGGAGCUCAACUCCGGAACUGCCAUUGAAACUGUGAGACUUGAGGAUGAGAGAGGUGAGUGGAAUUCCCAGUGUAGAGGUGAAAUUCGUAGAUAUUGGGAAGAACACCGGUGGCGAAGGCGGCUUCCUGGCCCGCAACUGACGCUGAGGCGCUAAAGCUAGGGGAGCAAACAGG
rnacentral:rRNA from 1 species